CGACCACUGUUAAUCUGUGUAUUUCUAGGCACCAAGUCAGACUCUUCAACCUCUUCUAUCUAGUAUUCAAUUCACCUUCAAUAUCAGCUUGUUCUCCACUCUAAAUUCUCCUUACCCUCCACUCCUACCCAUAAUUAAUUAAUUAACAAUUAAAGAAAAUCCCAUCUCUCUCUCUCUUCCUCCAGAAAAUCAUUGCAUAUAUAAUGGUCUAAGCGGUCCAAAAUCAAUCUGCCGGAGAUCCCAAAACUAAAUAUUGAUGUUGGACUAGUUUUUAGGGAAUAGAAGCAUCAUUCAGUCUUUUUUUGUUUCUUUUCUUCUCUGGUCCACAUCAUUAUAUCUACUGAGAAUUAUCUCGGUGGCUUCCAGUUCCCCUCUGCUAUAUUUUACCUGAUUCUCACUUUCUUAACCCUUCAAUUUGGUAGUUGAAAGCUUCUUUGGCAAAGGUGAAAUAAACUAUUACAAACAAAAGACCAAAAAAAAAAAAAUGAGUCGAAGAGAAAACAGUCCAAAGCUGGAAUUGAAGCUGAACCUAUCACCACCUAGGGCUAACCAACAAGUUGGAUCGCCAAACACAUCGGUUUCCUCCUGGGAAAUGUCACCUGAAAGCUCGUGCGUGUCUUCGGAGCCUGACGACUCUACGUCGAUGCAAUACCCGAGUAGUCCUGAAGCAACUUCGAUGGUGCUGGUUGGAUGUCCUCGAUGCCUCAUGUACGUUAUGCUAUCGGAGGUCGAUCCCAAGUGCCCCAGAUGCAAGAGCACCGUCUUGCUUGAUUUUCUUAACGAAGAGAACGCCAAGAAGUCAAGAAACUGAAGAAGAAGAAGUAGGAUUUUUCUUCUUGCUUUCCAUGGAACAAGUACAACUUACUUCUCUAGAAUAGGCUUUUUUUUUUUCUUUUUGUUUGGUUUUAGUUUCUUCUUUCUUUUAUUUUUGCCAGCUUCUUUUGUGUUGGAAUGUUUGAAGUUUUCUGCUAAUAUAUCUUUGUUUCUUUUCAUAUUCA